GGGGGCGACCUGGCUUCGACGGAGGUAGUGAAACCCAAGGCGCGUGCCGUGCUCGCUCGCGGAGCACGUAAAUCCCCGUGAGCAAAAAACAAACGCCAACGACAACGUUGAGCUCGCUGUCGCCGCCUGAGAAAGCGGUCUGAACAGCGCGGAGGCCGGCAGCCCGCCGGGGGCGGCCGUCACCUCCGUCAUCGAACCCGGCCGUUCCUUCGAGUCGCCCUGGGCGAGAAGAGGACGUACCAGCCAGGGCAACCGCGUCGGUAGCCAGCCCUCGGGCAGCCGCCGCGGAUCCUUCCGAGGGCUACGCACGUAGGGCCGAGGCGUGGAUCACCUUCGGACGCGGGUUCGAUUCCCGCCGCCUCCACCA
rnacentral:tmRNA from 1 species